CGAAGUGCUUACUGACAGCAGCCCAGUAUAGCUGCCCCUGAAAGGCUCUGCCAGAGCCCGACCAAUACAUAUGCAGAGGGACUCACAGUUAAGAAAUCUGUGUGGCAGUGGGCUGUGAGAAGCAGCUGUGUACCUGGUCGAGCAAAAGUCUUGAAUCCUGGACCCUUAUCGGAUGGACCAUCCCUAAGCCUAUCUGGGUCCCUGCCAGAAAUGUUUGACACCACCC